rnacentral:rRNA from 1 species
UAAGGAAUAUUGGGCAAUGGACGCAAGUCUGACCCAGCCAUGCCGCGUGAAGGAAGAAGGCCCUAGUGGUCGUAAACUUCUUUUAUAUGGGAAAAAUUCUCGGGUCGUGAAUCCGGGUUGAUGGUACUAUAUGAAUAAGCAUCGGCUAACUCCGUGCCAGCAGCCGCGGUAAUACGGAGGAUGCAAGCGUUAUCCGGAUUUAUUGGGUUUAAAGGGUGCGUAGGCGGGACGAUAAGUCAGUGGUGAAAUCCUACGGCUUAACUGUAGAAUUGCCAUUGAUACUGUCGUUCUUGAGUGCAGCUGAAGAGGGCGGAAUGUGUUGUGUAGCGGUGAAAUGCUUAGAUAUAACACAGAACACCGAUUGCGAAGGCAGCUCUCUAAACUGCAACUGACGCUGAGGCACGAAAGCGUGGGGAUCAAACAGG